GGCGUUAGAUAGGCAUGCAGGCCUAAUUAAACCCUUAUACGGCGAAACUGCGGAAGGCUCAUUAUAUCAGUUAUAGUUUAUUUGAUGGUACCCUACUACAUGGAUAACCGUAGUAAUUCUAAAGCUAAUACAUGCCCAGAAACUCCUUCCCUUCGUGGGAAAGAGGGGACUUAUUACAUUAAAAGCCAAUGGCGGGCUUUUUGGCCGGGUUUGUGGUGAAUCAUAAUAAUUUUGGGAUCGUAUGGCUUCACCCCGGCGAUGGGUCAUUCAAAUUUCUGCCCUAUCAGCUGUGAUGUUGGGGUAUUGGACAAAAGGGGCGAAAACGGGAAACGGAGGAUUAGGGUCUGAUUCCGGAAAGGGAGCCUGAAAAACGGCUACCACUUCUAAGGAAUGCAGCAGGCGCGUAAAUUACCCAAUCCCGACACGGGGAGGUAGAGACAAGAGAUACCAAUAUCGGGCUUUUCAUGUCUGGGAAUUGGAAUGAGAACCAUUUAAACCCAUUACCGAGGAACAAUUGGAGGGCAACUCUGGUCCCCCCCCGCCCCCGCCCCGCCCGGG
rnacentral:rRNA from 1 species